UGGUCAAAUCCUGUUGGAACACCAGUUCCAAUACAAUCAUUGAAGUUAAGCAAUGUCAAGCCUGGUCAGUACCUAGAUGGGUGACCACUUGAGAAUACCAGGUACUGUAAG